GACGAACCGAGCGAACGUUAUUCGGAAUAACUGGGCUUAAAGGGCGCGUAGGCGGGCGAUCAAGUCAGGGGUGAAAGCCCCCAGCUCAACUGGGGAAGUGCCUUUGAUACUGGUCGUCUCGAGGGAGGUAGGGGCGUGCGGAACUUCCGGUGGAGCGGUGAAAUGCGUAGAUAUCGGAAGGAACGUCGGUGGCGAAAGCGGCGCGCUGGACCUCUUCUGACGCUGAGGCGCGAAAGCCAGGGGAGCGAACGGG
rnacentral:rRNA from 1 species